UACGUAGGGUGCAAGCGUUGUCCGGAAUUAUUGGGCGUAAAGAGCUUGUAGGCGGUUUGUCGCGUCUGCUGUGAAAUUUCGGGGCUCAACCCCGAACUUGCAGUGGGUACGGGCAGACUAGAGUGUGGUAGGGGAGACUGGAAUUCCUGGUGUAGCGGUGAAAUGCGCAGAUAUCAGGAGGAACACCGGUGGCGAAGGCAGGUCUCUGGGCCAUAACUGACGCUGAGAAGCGAAAGCAUGGGGAGCGAACAGG
rnacentral:rRNA from 1 species